rnacentral:rRNA from 1 species
CCUACGGGCGGCAGCAGUGAGGAAUAUUGGUCAAUGGACGCGAGUCUGAACCAGCCAAGUAGCGUGAAGGAUGACUGCCCUACGGGUUGUAAACUUCUUUUAUAAGGGAAUAAAGUGUGGCACGUGUGCCCUUUUGUAUGUACCUUAUGAAUAAGGAUCGGCUAACUCCGUGCCAGAAGCCGCGGUAAGACGGAGGAUCCGAGCGUUAUCCGGAUUUAUUGGGUUUAAAGGGAGCGUAGAGGGGUUGUUAAGUCAGUUGUAAAAGUUUGCGGGGCAACCUUUUCGAGCCGUUGAAACUGGCGGUCUGGAGUGCGAGUGAAGUAGGCGGAAUGCGUGGUGUAGCGGUGAAAUGCUUAGAUAUCACGCAGAACUCCGAUUGCGAAGGCAGCAUACCGGAGCGCAACUGACGUUGAUGCACGAAAGUGUGGGUAUCGAACAGGAUUAGAUACCCCGGUAGUC